UGAGCCUGCGUUAGAUUAGCUAGUUGGUAGGGUAAAGGCCUACCAAGGCGACGAUCUAUAGCUGGUCUGAGAGGACGAUCAGCCACACUGGGACUGAGACACGGCCCAGACUCCUACGGGAGGCAGCAGUGGGGAAUAUUGGACAAUGGGCGAAAGCCUGAUCCAGCAAUACCGCGUGUGUGAAGAAGGCCUUAGGGUUGUAAAGCACUUUCAAUUGGGAGGAAAACCUGCCGGUCAAUACCCGGUAGCUUGACAUUACCUUUAGAAGAAGCACCGGCUAACUCCGUGCCAGCAGCCGCGGUAAUACGGAGGGUGCGAGCGUUAAUCGGAAUUACUGGGCGUAAAGCGUGCGUAGGUGGUUCGUUAAGUCAGAUGUGAAAGCCCUGGGCUCAACCUGGGAACUGCAUUUGAAACUGGCGGACUAGAGUUUAGUAGAGGGGAGUGGAAUUUCAGGUGUAGCGGUGAAAUGCGUAGAUAUCUGAAGGAACACCAGUGGCGAAUGCGACUCC
rnacentral:rRNA from 1 species